AACCAUUCUCACCUGCGGCUAGACCUGCGGAAGGAUCAUUACCGAGUUAGGGUGUCUGUUCGCAGCGCCCGACCUCCCAACCCUUUGUCUAUGAUACCUAAACAGUUGCUUCGGCGUGCCGAGGGGUCGUACCCUCGCCGGGCCUCACGGCCGGGAGCGCGCACGUCGACGGCCUUUAUCUAACACUUGAAACCCAAAACCUGUCGUCUGAAAACUUGUGAUUAACCAAUAAUCAAAAAC
rnacentral:misc_RNA from 1 species